GUCCAGACUCCUACGGGAGGCAGCAGUAGGGAAUAUUGCACAAUGGGGGAAACCCUGAUGCAGCGACGCCGCGUGAGUGAAGAAGUAUUUCGGUAUGUAAAGCUCUCUCAGCAGGGAAGAAAAUGACGGUACCUGAUUAAGAAGCCCCGGCUAACUACGUGCCAGCAGCCGCGGUAAUACGUAGGGGGCAAGCGUUAUCCGGAUUUACUGGGUGUAAAGGGAGCGUAGACGGUGAUGCAAGUCAGAAGUGAAAGCCCGGGGCUCAACUCCGGGACUGCUUUUGAAACUGUGUGACUGGAGUGCAGGAGAGGUAAGCGGAAUUCCUGGUGUAGCGGUGAAAUGCGUAGAUAUCAGGAGGAACACCAGUGGCGAAGGCAGCUUACUGGACUGUAACUGACGUUGAGGCUCGAAAGCGUGGGGAGCAAACAGGAUUAGAUACCCCGGUAC
rnacentral:rRNA from 1 species